rfam:Ailuropoda melanoleuca scaffold888_86, whole genome shotgun sequence.
ACCCGGCUGGCUCAGUCAGAGGAGCAUGAGACUCUUGAUCUGGGGGUUGUGAGUUCAAGCCCCGUGUUGGGUG